UAGUAUUCAAUUGUCAGAGGUGAAAUCAUKGGAUUUAUUGAAGACUAACUACUGCGAAAGCAUUUGCCAAGGAUGUUUUCAUUAAUCAAGAACGAAAGUUACGGGAUCGAAGACGAUCAGAUACCGUCGUAGUCUUAACCAUAAACUAUGCCGACUAGGGAUCGGAUGAUGUUAAUUUUUUAAUGACUCA
rnacentral:rRNA from 1 species